rnacentral:lncRNA from 1 species
GCUCGAUCUUGUCGAUGUUCUGACCCGUGUGCUUGGCGUAGAUCUUGUUGAGGCGGUCGCGCAGCUUGAGGAUCUCCUUGGCCUGGAUGGCGAUGUCGGUGGCCUGGCCCUGGGCCCCGCCGGAGGGCUGGUGGAUCAUGACCCUGGCGUUGGGCAGCGCCCGCCUCUCCCCGCGCGCGCCGGCGGCGAGCAGGAGCGACCCCAUGGAGGCGGCCUGGCCGAUGCAGAUGGUGUUGACCGGGCAGCGGAUGUACUGCAUGGUGUCGUAGAUGGCGAGCCCGGCGGUGACGACGCCCCCGGGGGAGUUGAUGUAGAGGCUGAUGGGCUUGAGCGGGUUCUCGGACUCGAGGAAGAGCAGCUGCGCGACGACGAGCGAGGCCGUCUCGUCGGCGAUGGGCCCGUGGAUGCAGACGAUCCGCUCCUUGAGCAGGCGCGAGAAGAUGUCGUAGGCGCGCUCCCCGCGGGAGGUGGUCUCGACGACCAUGGGCACGAGGCCGUACUCCCGGACGGAGGAGUAGCCCUCCGGCUCCGGCGGCUGGUAGGGCGCGGAGGAGAAGAAGGCCCGCGGCGGGGCGGCGACGGCGAGCCGGCGCGGCGCGGGCCCGAACGGGCCCGGGCUGGCCGAGUUGGGCCUGGACCUGGGCCUGGGCGCGAAGGCGGGCAGCGGGGAGGCGCCGGCUAGGUUGGCGACGGCGGAGGGCGUCAUGGCUGCUGCUGGUCCUGGGGCGUCCGGGGUGCGGAUUUGUGGUCGGAUGUGAGGCGGAAAUAGCAAGGGAGGACUUAUACCAAGGAAGGGGAACGGGGUGAGGAGAGUGUGAAACGGAGGAAACGGAUAGGGCGAGACGAGACGUCGAGACGGUGGUUGCGCUUCGAUCCGCCGGAUCGGAUCUUUUCUUCUCUUCUCUUCUCCUCUCCUUCUCUCCGUGGGGUGGGGUGGAGUGGGGGAUCGGUGUUCCUCUCCCUGCCUUUGUUGCUUCUCCGUCUGAGCUUUCGCUUGUUUUCCAAGAAAGAAUUUAUUUUUUUCUGACACAAAGAAC